rfam:Clostridiales bacterium S5-A14a contig18, whole genome shotgun sequence.
ACCUUAUCAAGAGUGGCGGAGGGAAUAGGCCCUGUGAUGCCCGGCAACCCUAAGGCGGAUGUUUAAAAAGAUAUCUUAACACCAUCUUAAAGGUGCUAAUUCCUACAGAGCAUUGCUUUGAAAGAUGAGGA